rnacentral:rRNA from 1 species
CCGGCACGGGUGGAGUAACACGUAUCCAACCUGCCGUCUACUCUUGGACAGCCUUCUGAAAGGAAGAUUAAUACAAGAUGGCAUCAUGAGUCCGCAUGUUCACAUGAUUAAAGGUAUCCGGUAGACGAUGGGGAUGCGUUCCAUUAGAUAGUAGGCGGGGUAACGGCCCACCUAGUCUUCGAUGGAUAGGGGUUCUGAGAGGAAGGUCCCCCACAUUGGAACUGAGACACGGUCCAA